rnacentral:tRNA from 1 species
AGCCCGGUAGUGUAGCGGCCAAGCAUAGAGGGCCUUGAACCCUUUGACCACGGUUCGAAUCCGUGCCGGGCUA